rnacentral:sRNA from 1 species
CAAGCACCUCGGUAGGUGAGGCGUCUGCAUGGACACAGGCCACUGACCCCGAACGUCGAGAGACGCCCCGGGUCAGGACAGCUCUUCCCGGACCCAAGGGUUGAGCCCAAGUGGCUUCCGGACGAGGAGCGAUCGCAAGCGCGGCGAAGCCGGGCGCAGCGGAUCGCGACAUAGGCCGAGGAGCGAUCGCAAGCGCGGCGAAGCCGGGCGCAACGGAUCGCGACCAUCGGCUACGUCUCGGAUACGCCGUGCAGUGCCGAAGCUCCGACGAGAGGGGUGUCAC